GGGGGUAUAGCUCAGUUGGUAGAGCGCCGCCCUUGCAAGCAUGGCGGAUGUCAGCGGUUCGAGUCCGCUUACCUCCA
rnacentral:tRNA from 1 species